UCCCUGGAGGAUUAGUGGUUAGGCCUCGGCGCUAUCGCCACCAUGGGCCGGGUUCCAUUCCCAGCCAGGGAA